rnacentral:rRNA from 1 species
CCAAAGGGGUAUUGCCUUCAGUACGGCGAGUGAAGCGGCAAAAGCUCAAAUUUGAAAUCCUUCGGGAGUUGUAAUUUGUAGGUUGGGAGACCCCGCGGCUAGUGGCACCAAGUCCCUUGGAACAGGGCGCCUUAGAGGGUGAGAGCCCCGUAGGUACCACAAUACCGUCUUGUGUCUCCUCUCCAAAGAGUCGAGUUGUUUGGGAAUGCAGCUCAAAGUGGGUGGUAAAUUCCAUCUAAAGCUAAAUACCGGCGAGAGACCGAUAGCGAACAAGUACAGUGAUGGAAAGAUGAAAAGCACUUUGAAAAGAGAGUGAAACAGUACGUGAAAUUGUUGAAAGGGAAGGGCUUGCAAGCAGACACGGCCUUCGUGCCGGGCCAGCAUCGGUUGCUAGGGGUGGAUAAGGAACAAGGAAUGUAGCUCCUCGGAGUAUUAUAGCCUUGCGCGAUACACCCACUGGCGACCGAGGCCUGCGGUAUUCCUACCUAGGAUGCUGGCGUAAUGGUUGCAAGCCGCCCGUCUAAAAACGGGGGACCAAAAUUUGGGCCCCCC